GGUUGUGACUCAGUGGCAGAGCAUUUGCCUAGCACGCGAGAGGCACUGGGUUCAAUCCUCAGCACCA
rnacentral:tRNA from 1 species